AGAUGGCACAUCAUCACCCAGCUGUGCCUUUACUCUUGUGUCAUAAAGUAUACCAUCAUGCCACUUCUCCUUUACUCUUAUUUCACAAGCACAGUGAGAACCUCCUCUGAUGUCACCGCAGGUCCUUUUGCAGGUCCUGAAGAAAAGAAGAUACCAGCUGCGCAAUCAAGUGGAUUAGGUACUUCACGCUCAAAUAUGGAAGACCCCAGCUUUUGAAUACUGAACAUCAAUAAAAAGGAUUUAUUUCUAAUUCUUCUUUUAAAAAUACACAAAAACGUACAGUACAAUUUGUAAUUUAAAAGUUAAGGAAAGACACA